AUUGAACGCUGGCGGCAUGCCUUACACAUGCAAGUCGAACGGUAACAGGUCUUCGGAUGCUGACGAGUGGCGAACGGGUGAGUAAUGCAUCGGAACGUGCCCAGUUGUGGGGGAUAACUGCUCGAAAGAGCAGCUAAUACCGCAUACGACCUGAGGGUGAAAGCGGGGGAUCGCAAGACCUCGCGCAAUUGGAGCGGCCGAUGUCAGAUUAGGUAGUUGGUGGGGUAAAGGCCUACCAAGCCGACGAUCUGUAGUUGGUCUGAGAGGACGACCAGCCACACUGGGACUGAGACACGGCCCAGACUCCUACGGGAGGCAGCAGUGGGGAAUUUUGGACAAUGGGCGCAAGCCUGAUCCAGCAAUGCCGCGUGCAGGAAGAAGGCCUUCGGGUUGUAAACUGCUUUUGUCAGGGAAGAAGUCCUCUGGGUUAAUACCCCGGGGGGAUGACGGUACCUGAAGAAUAAGCACCGGCUAACUACGUGCCAGCAGCCGCAGUAAGAC
rnacentral:rRNA from 1 species